GACGGAGGAUGCAAGCGUUAUCCGGAAUUAUUGGGCGUAAAGCGUCCGCAGGUGGCAUUUCAAGUCUGCUGUCAAAGACCGGGGCUUAACCCCAGAAAGGCAGUGGAAACUGAAAAGCUAGAGAGAGGUAGGGGCAGAGGGAAUUCCCAGUGUAGCGGUGAAAUGCGUAGAGAUUGGGAAGAACACCGGUGGCGAAAGCGCUCUGCUGGACCUUAUCUGACACUCAGGGACGAAAGCUAGGGGAGCGAAU
rnacentral:rRNA from 1 species